rnacentral:rRNA from 1 species
AGAGUUUGAUCCUGGCUCAGGACGAACGCUGGCGGCGUGCUUAACACAUGCAAGUCGAGCGAACGUAGCAAUACGUUAGCGGCGGACGGGUGAGUAACGCGUGAGCAAUCUGCCUCUAUCAACGGGAUAACACUUAGAAAUAGGUGCUAAUACCGUAUAAGACCACGAUGCCGCAUGGCAUAGCGGUAAAAGCCACGACGGAUAGAGAUGAGCUCGCGUCCCAUUAGCUAGUUGGUAGUGUAACGGACUACCAAGGCGACGAUGGGUAGCCGACCUGAGAGGGUGAUCGGCCACAUUGGAACUGAGAAACGGUCCAAACUCCUACGGGAGGCAGCAGUGGGGAAUAUUGGGCAAUGGAGGGAACUCUGACCCAGCAACGCCGCGUGAAGGAUGAAGGUUUUCGGAUUGUAAACUUCUGUCGCGAGGGACGAAGAAUGACGGUACCUCGUAAGAAAGCCCCGGCUAACUACGUG